UGUGUCUUUCUGGUUCCUUAGGAACAAUCCGGCUCCCCUCAGAAGCAAGGAGUGAAAGCUCGAUCUAAAUCUACAGAAGAGAUCCAACCUGCCAAGAAGGCCUUCCAUACUCCCCAGAAGUCCUUGCCCAACCAGAUGGAUGGAGAUGAGUCAAAGGUUUCCUGUCCUAUGCCAGCACCCAGUGCCACUCAGCAGGAGCAGGAGCAGACCUGAGGAGCAGGAGCUGCUUCAGUUUUGUUUACAAGGAGCGGAUUUGUGGUCACUGCUUGUGCUGCUCCUUAGCUUGGCCUUGUUGCUCAGUCUUUGUGGCCUUGUGGAUGUCACUGUGGUCCUUUCUGUCCAGCUGUUGCUGUUUGACUGUCUGUCUUCCCUGUGAAAUGACAUCUGGGUAAAUAAAGUUAGUUGGAACAUC